rnacentral:rRNA from 1 species
UACAGAGGCCCCAAGCGUUUUCCGGAAUCACUGGGCGUAAAGGGUGUGUAGGCGGUUGUAUUCGUCUUUCGUGAAAGAUCUUCGGCUUAACCGAGGAGACGCGGAGGAAACGGUACGACUUUGAGGAUGUGAGAGGUAUACGGAACUCAUAGUGUAGGGGUGAAAUCCGUUGAUAUUAUGGGGAACACCAAAUGCGAAGGCAGUAUACGGGCACAUUCCUGACGCUGAAACACGAAAGCGUGGGAAUCGAACGGG